rnacentral:sRNA from 1 species
AGCUGUUCCCCUCUGGAGGUUUUUAACCUUCACACUUUAAGGGCCCUGGAGUAAUCCGGUGGCCCCUUUUUUUUGGCUUU